rnacentral:misc_RNA from 1 species
UCUCGGCUUAUCACCGGCAGUCCCCCUAGAGUGCCCAACUGAAUGAUGGCAACUAAGGGCGAGGGUUGCGCUCGUUGCGGGACUUAACCCAACAUCUCACGACACGAGCUGACGACAGCCAUGCAGCACCUGUGUCCACGCCCCUUGCGGGGAGGAACCCGUCUCCGGGAACCGUCGUGGCAUGUCAAGGGCUGGUAAGGUGGGGAUGACGUGUCUAGGAGGGUG